GACGAACGCUGGCGGCGUGCUUAACACAUGCAAGUCGAACGGUAAGGCCCUUCGGGGUACACGAGUGGCGAACGGGUGAGUAACACGUGGGUGAUCCGCCCUGCACUUCGGGAUAAGCCUGGGAAACUGGGUCUAAUACCGGAUAGGACCACUGCCUGCAUGGGUGGUGGUGGAAAGCUUUUGCGGUGUGGGAUGGGCCCGCGGCCUAUCAGCUUGUUGGUGGGGCGAUGGCCUACCAAGGCGACGACGGGUAGCCGGCCUGCGGGGGUGACCGGCCACACUGGGACUGAGAUACGGCCCAGACUCCUACGGGAGGCAGCAGUGGGGAAUAUUGCACAAUGGGCGCAAGCCUGAUGCAGCGACGCCGCGUGAGGGAUGACGGCCUUCGGGUUGUAAACCUCUUUCAGCACCGACGAAGCGCAAGUGACGGUAGGUGCAGAAGAAGGACCGGCCAACUACGUGCCAGCCGCCGCGGUAA
rnacentral:rRNA from 1 species